AUAUUGGACAAUGGGGGCAACCCUGAUCCAGCCAUGCCGCGUGUGUGAAGAAGGUCUUNGGAUUGNANAGCGCUUUAAGUUGGGGNGAAGGGUUGUAGAUUAAUACUCUGCAAUUUUGACGUUACCAACAGAAUAAGCACCGGCUAACUACGUGCCAGCAGCCGCGGUAAUACGUAGGUGGCAAGCGUUAUCCGGAAUUACUGGGCGUAAAGCGCGCGUAGGUGGUUCAGUAAGAUGGGUGUGAAAUCCCCGGGCUUAACCUGGGAACUGCUUUCAUAACUGCUGAGCUAGAGUACGGUAGAGGGUAGUGGAAUUUCCUGUGUAGCGGUGAAAUGCGUAGAUAUAGGAAGGAACACCAGUGGCGAAGGCGACUACCUGGACUGAUACUGACACUGAGGUGCGAAAGCGUGGGGAGCAAAC
rnacentral:rRNA from 1 species